rnacentral:rRNA from 1 species
UACGUAGGGUGCAAGCGUUGUCCGGAAUUAUUGGGCGUAAAGAGCUCGUAGGCGGCUUGGUAAGUCGGAUGUGAAACCUCCAGGCUCAACCUGGAGUCGCCAUCCGAUACUGCCAUGGCUAGAGUCCGGUAGGGGCCCACGGAAUUCCUGGUGUAGCGGUGGAAUGCGCAGAUAUCAGGAAGAACACCCGUGGCGAAGGCGGCUCUCUGGAACGCAACUGACGCUGAGACGCGAAAGCGUGGGGAGCAAACAGG